AAUCAACGCUGGCGGCGUGCCUAACACAUGCAAGUCGAACGCGAAAGGGGCCUCGGCCCUGAGUAGAGUGGCGAACGGGUGAGUAACACGUGGGUGAUCUACCUUCGAGUGGGGAAUACCGUCCGGAAACGGACGCUAAUACCGCAUAAUGCAGCGGCAUCGUAAGAUGACAGUUGUUAGAGAUUUUAUCGCUUGAAGAGGAGCUUGCGGCAGAUUAGCUAGNGGUAAGGUAAUGGCUUACCAAGGCUACGAUCUGUAACCGGUCUUAGAGGACGGUCGGUCACACUGACACUGAAUAACGGGUCAGACUCCUACGGGAGGCAGCAGUCGGGAAUUUUGGGCAAUGGGCGAAAGCCUGACCCAGCAACGCCGCGUGAAGGAUGAAGUAUUUCGGUAUGUAAACUUCGAAAGAAUAGGAAGAAUCAAUGACGUACUAUUUAUAAGGU
rnacentral:rRNA from 1 species